rnacentral:rRNA from 1 species
UCAGAUGAACGCUGGCGGCAGGCCUAACACAUGCAAGUCGAACGGUAACAGGAAACAGCUUGCUGUUUCGCUGACGAGUGGCGGACGGGUGAGUAAUGUCUGGGAAACUGCCUGAUGGAGGGGGAUAACUACUGGAAACGGUAGCUAAUACCGCAUAACGUCGCAAGACCAAAGAGGGGGACCUUCGGGCCUCUUGCCAUCGGAUGUGCCCAGAUGGGAUUAGCUUGUUGGUGGGGUAACGGCUCACCAAGGCGACGAUCCCUAGCUGGUCUGAGAGGAUGACCAGCCACACUGGAACUGAGACACGGUCCAGACUCCUACGGGAGGCAGCAGUGGGGAAUAUUGCACAAUGGGCGCAAGCCUGAUGCAGCCAUGCCGCGUGUAUGAAGAAGGCCUUCGGGUUGUAAAGUACUUUCAGCGGGGAGGAAGGGAGUAAAGUUAAUACCUUUGCUCAUUGACGUACCCGCAGAAGAAGCACC